GAUGGAGGGGGAUAACUACUGGAAACGGUAGCUAAUACCGCAUAACGUCGCAAGACCAAAGAGGGGGACCUUCGGGCCUCUUGCCAUCGGAUGUGCCCAGAUGGGAUUAGCUUGUUGGUGGGGUAACGGCUCACCAAGGCGACGAUCCCUAGCUGGUCUGAGAGGAUGACCAGCCACACUGGAACUGAGACACGGUCCAGACUCCUACGGGAGGCAGCAGUGGGGAAUAUUGCACAAUGGGCGCAAGCCUGAUGCAGCCAUGCCGCGUGUAUGAAGAAGGCCUUCGGGUUGUAAAGUACUUUCAGCGGGGAGGAAGGGAGUAAAGUUAAUACCUUUGCUCAUUGACGUUACCCGCAGAAGAAGCACCGGCUAACUCCGUGCCAGCAGCCGCGGUAAUACGGAGGGUGCAAGCGUUAAUCGGAAUUACUGGGCGUAAAGCGCACGCAGGCGGUUUGUUAAGUCAGAUGUGAAAUCCCCGGGCUCAACCUGGGAACUGCAUCUGAUACUGGCAAGCUUGAGUCUCGUAGAGGGGGGUAGAAUUCCAGGUGUAGCGGUGAAAUGCGUAGAGAUCUGGAGGAAUACCGGUGGCGAAGGCGGCCCCCUGGACGAAGACUGACGCUCAGGUGCGAAAGCGUGGGGAGCAAACAGGAUUAGAUACCCUGGUAGUCCACGCCGUAAACGAUGUCGACUUGGAGGUUGUGCCCUUGAGGCGUGGCUUCCGGAGCUAACGCGUUAAGUCGACCGCCUGGGGAGUACGGCCGCAAGGUUAAAACUCAAAUGAAUUGACGGGGGCCCGCACAAGCGGUGGAGCAUGUGGUUUAAUUCGAUGCAACGCGAAGAACCUUACCUGGUCUUGACAUCCACGGAAGUUUUCAGAGAUGAGAAUGUGCCUUCGGGAACCGUGAGACAGGUGCUGCAUGGCUGUCGUCAGCUCGUGUUGUGAAAUGUUGGGUUAAGUCCCGCAACGAGCGCAACCCUUAUCCUUUGUUGCCAGCGGUCCGGCCGGGAACUCAAAGGAGACUGCCAGUGAUAAACUGGAGGAAGGUGGGGAUGACGUCAAGUCAUCAUGGCCCUUACGACCAGGGCUACACACGUGCUACAAUGGCGCAUACAAAGAGAAGCGACCUCGCGAGAGCAAGCGGACCUCAUAAAGUGCGUCGUAGUCCGGAUUGGAGUCUGCAACUCGACUCCAUGAAGUCGGAAUCGCUAGUAAUCGUGGAUCAGAAUGCCACGGUGAAUACGUUCCCGGGCCUUGUACACACCGCCCGUCACACCAUGGGAGUGGGUUGCAAAAGAAGUAGGUAGCUUAACCUUCGGGAGGGCGCUUACCACUUUGUGAUUCAUGACUGGGGUGAAGUCGUAACAAGGUAACCGUAGGGGAACCUGCGGUUGGAUCACCUCCUUACCUUAAAGAAGC
rnacentral:rRNA from 1 species